rnacentral:misc_RNA from 1 species
UCUCCACAGUUACGUGGUAGGAUACGCAACCCUAUGAAUCCGSCCCUCAUGGAGGAGGAGACAUGCUUUCUCCGAAAUGSCGACAACCGGGUUCWUGUCUUGCCUCUCCCUUCCACAGUUACGUGGUAGGAUACGCAACCCUAUGAAUCCSACCCUCAUGGAGGAGAAGGCAUGCUCUGUCUAAAAYGGCGACAACCGCGUYMAUGWCUUGCCUCUACCUCUCCACAGUUACGGGGUAGGAYACGCAACCCUAUGGAUCCGGCCCUCAUGGMUGAUGAGACAUUCCCRAUGCUCACUCCCKAAAAUGACGACAACCGUGUUCAUGUCUUGCCUCUACCUCUCCACAGUUACGUGGUAASAUACGCAACCCUAUGGAUCCGCCCCUCAAGGAGGAUGAGACAUGCCCCCUCAAAGASCAACAACURAGCUCGGCUGUGGCUUUUGUCUUUCCACGCAGGGGAAAUUGCAGGGUAACUACCGACGCUGGACGUCACCGA